ACGGACAUGUUGUGCUCGUUCCCCCCCCUCCCCGUCCCCAAGCCCUCCCGCCGCCGCGAGGGAGCAGCCGGUGGGGGCAGCGGUUCGCCCCUGCGCCGCGGGAUGGCCGCCAGCUGUGACCACAGGCCUGGCUGCCUGCAGAGACUUCCAGACAAGCUGCCUGCGUAACCUUUCCAGUAGUGCUUCGAGGUUCCUGUCCUGUGAGCCUGUCCAGACUGUCUUAUGCAUUUGAAGAAGUAAUUUUGUAGCUGAGAUCAGAAUUAAUCUCUGGAGCCCCCAGCACAAAAAGGAUGUGGACCUGUUGGAGUGUGUCCAGAGGAGGGCAACAAAAAUGACCAGAGGGCUGGAGCACCUCUCUUAUGAAGUUUUCUUUUAAUACAGGAAGACAUGUAGAAGCUGUGGCAGAGACACAAAGCAAAGAACAUUCCUGCAUCUGUCACAUGCCUCUAGCAGUGCCUGUUGAAGAGGAAAGUUGCAAGAGAAACAGAACAGACUCCUCCUGGAAAAGAACUAUGCAGCAAAUGAUGGCAUUUUCAGAGCUGUCGUUACUUACUUUUGCUAAGCAAAGCAUGGAAAGCAGCCAGCUAUGGAUAUUACCAGCAAUGUGAUCAGCACCCUCUUCUCUCAGCAGCACUGUUCAGCACAUUGCAUUAUCUUACUGACACUGCAGAUAAUUACUGUAGUUUUGCAGAGAGAUCUUAACUGCAACCAGUUCCUGCAGUACUGAUGGACAGAGAGUACAUGCAAUUCUCGAUGAACACCAGCUGCAUCAGAAGGUGCAACCUUCCAAGACCUAUCAGGAAACACAUAUACUGGCUUCCCUGGACUGAAGAACUGGCUCCUAAAGAAGCUGGCUAUGUAAUUCUAUCAACAUCAAUGGGAAUCACACAGAGAAUCAUGCUGGAAACCAGAACAAUCCACAGAGGUAAGUAUCUUGGCAGCAGAAGCACUCUUUUAAUGAUGUAAGGGAUUUUAAACAAUUUUUUCUUGUUUUCUACUCCCCAGUUAACUCUUCUAAAAACAUGCAGGACAGACUGAUGUUACUUCCAAAAUCUUAUUUGUGCAUCAUAUUAGUCAACAUUGCUCCAUAUGAAAUACCCUCAAGGUAUAUUGAAAAUUAAAAAAAAAACCCAAAACCUUAUGACCAGUGUGUCUUUGUAACUGAAAUGCCUCAAAUCUGAAACAGCAUGUAGAUAUCUCAGAAAAAAAUAGUCACCAAAAGUCAACAACUGGGAAGUGAGCUUCACAACAAAGAAAAACACAGAAGAUGUCUGUAUGUGGCCAGCAGUGCCUGUAAAAUAAAUAUUCCAUUAAAGAAAAUUUAUUUUCCAUUGUGCUGCCUGGCACUGUGCCUAAUUACUGUGGCAAAAAAUAAACUAUGGGUGAAAAAUGAUCCUGCACAGCUUUAACCCUCUGUAAGAGCUUUCUAACUUAAAACUAUAUUUGCUUUCAACAAAGGCUAGUUUCUCUGCUAAAAAAAUAUCUCGGAGUGCUGAGAGUUUAAAGAGAUAUAUUUUAAGUACUAUUUUAAUAUAUUUUAUUGUAGCUAUAAAUAAUUACAUUUUAUUAAUAAGAAAGUAGUAAAUACAAAGUUAUGCUUUUUAAGGACCUAUUCUCCUAAAUAUCUCAAGUCAUUUUAUAAUAAUUACCUCAAAGUCUCUACCCAAACAAAAUUCUAAGUGGAAACUGCUUCAUAUCCAGCUCCCAGUGUUUGGUUCUGAUUCCAGAAAACCAAUUAACUGAUUUAAAAGUAAGACACUAACUAACCUGAGCUGGUUUAAUUUUCAACCUGUAUUUUGUGCUUUUUCUUUUUUCUUUAAUUAAAAGAGAU